rnacentral:lncRNA from 1 species
AAAAACCAAAAAAAAAAAAAAAAAAAAAAAAAAAAACCCAAAAAAAAAAAACAAGAAACGAUAUGAAAUUGUAGCAGCAUUUUAAUAUAUUAUUGUCUCGUAAAGUAAUAUCAAAUCAUCAGUGGCAUUAUAUCAAAAAGUAAUAAUUUGCCUCAACUAUGUUGUCAUAAAUUAAAUCAUAGAGUACUGCUAGUAUAUAAAUUUUACCAUGGUAAUCACAGUAAAAAUAAAAUCGUACUGUUGGUAUAGUUUUCUAAAUCUAGUCAUAGAAUAAUCCCAGUGCCAACAUGUGACAAUGAAUACUAGCUAAUAAUCUUCCCAUACCAACUAUGGAUUUAGAUACAAACACUGAUAAUAAUAACAUACUAAUUAUUUCUCUAUUCUUAAAUGUAAAUAAUUAGUAAGGAAGUAAAUUCAAACAAAUUGCUUGUUAAUAAAUGCACUUUACAAAAUUCCAGGAGUCUACCACUUCAAGAAAUGAGUUUUAAGCUGGGCAUGGUGGCACAUGCCUUUAAUCCCAGCACUUGGGCAGCAGAGGCAGGCGGAUCUCUGAGUUUGAGACCAGUCUGCUCCACAGAGGAAGUGCCAGGACAGCCAGGCUGCACAAAGACCAAAUCUUGUCGGCGGUUGGGAGGGGUGAUUUCUCUUUGGAAGACUCAUUGGUUUUUAACAAAACAGAAAAUCAUUUAAAAACCUUACUGAGUGUUUUUUUUUUCUUUUUAAUUAUACAAAGGUGGCAAAAGACUGCAGUGGCACUAAAAACACCAUUAAAGGUGUAAUUAGCAAUUGAGAAUACCAUUAUCCAACUUGUGUGCAGAGUGCAGCUGUGACUGUAAUUCUGCAUCUGUUUCUUUGGUCAGAAUGGUAUUUUGGUAGAUGGGUAGUCCAGCUUGAAAUGAAAUAGUCCUUUCCUGCCCCAAAGCUGUUCUUUGGGAGAGAGACGCACCAUCUGAGAGGGAAAGCAACCAUUGCGAGCCUGUUCCUUUUGUGGGGCACAGCUGUCUGUGCAGCAGGCUUUCUGUGUGUGUUUUCUUAAGAUGCGGAUGCAUCUCGUCAGUGUCCCAGGAGCUAUCUUGUGUUAGAAGACACAUUGUUAUAUUUGUUCUGGGUCUGUGCUUUUAAGUCAGUUAUCUGAAUAUUAACUCAGUUUCUCUACAUUCUAUUGAUUUAUUCCUAUUUUUUGGUUCUUCAUGAUUUAAUCUGGCUGGACAGGUUGUAUGUCUUAGGCCACUUAGCUGUGUCCAAACUAUUUAAUCUGCUAACACAGACUCAUUUAUCUGAUAUCCUAAAGACUCAUUUUAUUUUCCCAAAGUCAGUGGCUUAAGCAUCACUAAUCAGAAAAUCUGAAAUGCUCUUAAUUUUAGAAUUUCUAGCACUAAACAUGAAGUUAUACUUCCUCUGUCUUUUGGUCAGUCUUGUGACUUUGUAAGGAUAAUGUUUUUGCGUGACUAUGUAAAAGUCUCUCCAUGGUCAUCCUGGAUACUUCCAUUGUCCCCUUCUUGUCCUUCCGUCAGAGACCAUGCACACAUCACUCAGUGUGUUCACCACACUUGUCCUGUUUGGGCUCAGUAACCUAAGUUCACAGUGGUGUUGCAGUAUAGAAAUGAACUUACCUUUCUCUUAACUCCUGUGCUAUCACACUUACCUCUACAGCAGGCAGGUCAUUGGCUACAGAUAUUGUGG